GCGCCGUUAGCUCAAUUGGCAGAGCAGCAGACUCUUAAUCUGCGGGUUCGGGGUUCAAGUCCCUGACGGCGCA
rnacentral:tRNA from 3 species